rnacentral:lncRNA from 1 species
CGCUUUACUAAUUCAUUAUCCUGUUGUAGAAUACAAAUGAGUAAAAUGAGCAUAUGAAUCAGCAGAGAAAUAGAAAGACCAGAGAGAAACAUAGAACGUAGCUAAAGAAUUAGAGAAAGAAAAGCAACCACUCGUAUAUAAUUUAGUCACUGUUCAACAGACGUAGCUAGUUGUCAGCUAAUAGAGUUCUUCGCCUUCCUGAUUGCCAGCAGACGACCAGUUAUUCACCGGCUCGUUGUAGAGAAGCUUCUGCAUAUCCAAUACCAAUCCUGAGAUUUCUUCACUGAAUCUAGGAGAAAACCUUAUUGAACGGUUCAGAUACUUUUCUCCCUCAAGGAUCUCGAGAAUGGACCUUUGUAAUGAUCAGAAAGCUUGCCUGAUCUAAGAUCAACAUUAGAAUUCUGCAUCACACGCUCUCACUAUCUACUGAAAGACUAUGAACCUCUUUCCGCUUUUGCCUAGAUUUCAGCGAGAAACAGAGUAUCGAGGUGCAUCUUUGGUUAGAACUCUAAAGGACUCAUUAAAAUCAACAGGAGCAGGUUGAUACUAACCAUAAGGCCUCAGAGAUCCUCUCUUCUGCUGCGUCUAACUACUUUCUCUCUUGGCAUAGGAGUCUUAAUUGAAAGCCCUCUAGCUCAUCAUAGCAUCGCUUGCAGCUGUAGGAGAAUUUUUUUUAAAAAUGCUAUCAGUCAUAGAUGAGGUCAACGCCCAUUCUCUUCGCUAAUUGCAAUUUCCAUUAACUGCAACAAACACAUACAAAGAACACCCAGUAACGAAUCGAGAGAAACACUGAAGAAGAAACUGCAAGUAAAACUUAAAUUAAUCACAUUUGGAUGAAAAUCCACGACACAGCUCAGACUAAGUAAGUAAUGAUAGCCAUAUCGAGAAUAUUUGGAUUUGGGUCUUGAAUCUGUUUUUUCCUUGUAUCUUCUCCUCGUCGAUGGGCUCUUGUCCCUUGCUAGUGGAAUAUCUACCCAACUUUUAUUUCGAGUCAAGAAAAUAUUUAUUUACCAAGCAACCCCUCAGCGAAAACUUGCAAAUAAAACCUUUCUCAACACACUAACACAUGAAAGAAAAGAAAAAAACAAAAACUCCAAAAAAAGGCGAUAUGAAACAGUAAAACCUGAGUAAUCGAUAGAUCCGAUCCAGAAGCUAACCUAGAGCUCGGGGAACAGUAAACCUAAGCCUAGAAGAAGACCACGGAGGAAGAAGGGUCUUCUCGGAGGUCAAAGAUCAAUGGUGGAUUGAAGAUUUAGAUGAUGACAGAGUUUAGAGGAAGAAGAUGAUUUUGAUAUUCUGAUUGAUUCUCAUAUUUGGCCAAAGAGCCUUACAUAUAGUGAUUAAAGUUUUAUGAACCGGAAUUACAAACCGUAAUUAAUAUAACUACUAAACCAAGAUAAACCAGAGGAUAUGGAAUAAUCCUGUAACAAUACUCCCUCGUCGACAACAUCCUUGUCCUCAAGGAUGACAAGUUGGAAGCUCCUUGAUGAUUUUGAUGGAACGUCAAUGCAACUUGGUCUGGAGGAUGCACUUUCCAAUGGACAAAGACCGUGAUGAAUGCUUUGUUGUGGUGGUUAACCUUCUUCUUGGCACUGUUUUCAACAAACGGGGAUUGUAGCAGAAGUAUAGCAGUAGUGGUGGAGGUCGGAUAGAAGAAAUAGCAUUUCUCAGUUGUUACCUCUAGCUUCGGGACUAAUCCACUAAGCCACUCAAAACCAUGCUUGAUCCUCAUAAUGUAAAGCAUAGCAACACAGAGCAUAUAACUGAAAAUGUGUGCAUUAUCCAACGUCAUUUUACCAGAGAUCAAUAAGUCCUCAAAAUUGUCGGCUUCUGUCUUGAAAUGAAGGUAUAAUUGCAGAACCGUAACAGAGAUUAUAGAGGCAGGAAAGCCAUCGAUAGAAUGAGCAAUGUAGAGUGUUCCAGAAUGUGUAUGACCAGAUUCACAAUCACAAUUUAUGGCUCGGUUCCAUAUAUCAAUCAACCAAGUGAAGUAGUCCAGACCUGAAGAACUUGGGGGUUCAGUACUAAACUGCUUCAAAUCGUUGUAGUGUGUCCAAAAUUCAGGAUGCAGCAGCUUGUGGUUCUUGAGGAAUAAGAGCUUGGGGUCCUUCUCGAGCUUACCCAACCUCUGAAAGCUCUUCUUUAUUGUCUUGAAAUCUGGAGGUCGUGGCAGUGAACCAUAGAGUAACUUAAGUGAUGUGCUGUAGAAACCAACAGCUUUAAGCCUCAUGAAAUCGCCAUCUCCAUAGUCACUGACCAGAUAAGAGAGCUGGUGUGUGUUUUCAUCUAGACUCACGAACUCUUCUUCACCUCUACGGUCAACUUGAUUAAUCUCAAGUUCACAAAUAUAUCCAUCAGCUGUACCAACCUCACGUUCUUUUGUUACCAAAACUAAUAUGACCUUACCAUCCUUUAAGAAAUCGUUCUUUCUCUUCUUAGCAUCAGCUUCAACGCUCUUCAAAACAGUGGCGUGUAAGCCAUCAAAUAGAUGAAAUGUAGGAAUUAACCAGCAACAUUCCAGCAACACCACCAUUUUAAACUUAGAUCUCCAUUUGUGCUUCAAAUGGAACUUCAUACGAGCAAAAGUAAGCUGUCUCAAGCCUACAACUAGCAGUGUUCUGUUUCUUAGCAAAUCAGGCACGUUAAAAACUUCAUCAUGACCAGCGUGACCCUUAGCUUCAGAUAUAAGCCCAACAAGUAUUCUCAAUACACCAUUCCUUCUGCGAGACUGAAACUCGAACGGUUCCAGUAACACACGUUCUGAUCCCUUUUUAUUUCCGGCUUCAAUGUUCAUCAGCGCAUGCUUUCCUUUAUCAUAAACCAACCGUGACUGCAUCUUUUCACUUGCAACUAAAGGCUCCUCACCAGGUGUUUUUCCUCCAACGAUAUCAACAUACAUCGAUUCCAGCGGUAAAUAAGCUUUGUAGUACGAGUAUAUUGAGCCAAACUUCUCCAAUAAGACUUUGUUAUUCUCGCCUAUUCCAUCUAGAAGCAACUGGUUAUCUUCGUCCAAAGGCAGAGAUAUGACCUUUGAGGAAGUUACAAGAAUUACAACUCCAUGUUUCAACAAAAGAGUGGUUCCAUCUGUCGAUUUAUGUGCCUCUGAGUUGCCUUUGAACUUGUAUUUCCAAGUCUUUGACCACUUCUGCUUCCUCUUUCUAGUUCUCAGCAAAACUUUAAGCAUCUGAUCUGCGCAAUCCAACUUUGUAACAACAGAAAACUUCUGAGGCAUCUCAACCUCUCUUGGAACAUAACCAAUUUGUUCCACCACAGCACUCACGUAAUCGACAACCUCUUGGGUUUCUAUGUCCAUAAUCGAUGAUUCUGGAGUUAACUCAGUCACUUUACCAUAGCCCCACAAUAUACUAGACAGCCUGUGCAUUAACCUCAUCGAUUUACCAUCUUUGUAACAUUUUUCUAACCCUUUCCACUUAUCAUGUUCAGUCGCUAUUCCACCAGGUUCCCACAUUCUAUUAUUCCAAGAUGAAACGAGUUUCAUCACCUUGUUUUGCUCAUGUUCAUCCUCUUUUUCGUCUUCUUCAUAAAGAGGCUUGAGCUCCUCUAGAUCCCAAUUCACCACUUGCAUCUGAGGAUAUAGAGACGUUUCAAACUGAUGUGAUUCUUGGUGUGACUUCGAUUCUUUCUCUGGCCAGUCCCAAAAAUCCAGAGUAGCCGGUAAACCACCUGGCUCCCAUACAUGACCAGUCUUAUGUGAGAACAAGAGCUUAUCAUUUGAUGAACUGAUCAGCAUUGUUGAAUCCUCCUGAUACUUCUCUGAUAAGGAGAGAUCAACGUGAGAUCUAAAUUUGGCAGAAAUCGCUUGAGAGUGCUUGCCCUCCAAGUGUUCGGCGUUUUGCCCGAGAGGUGGAUUCCUCUUUUCUUCAGCUACAGUUUUUGGAUGAUCGUCUUCCCGAUUCAACUCAACAGAAUCCUGCAAAACUGGGACAAACCCCAACGAUUUCAUAGAUGAAUCUGUCUCAACAUGUGGUUCGACGAACUCAUUAUCAGCAGAAAGUUGAUCAUCUUCACAGUCUACCAUGAAAAUCUUUGAUUUUCUGUGCUUUGACUGAAAGUGACCACGGGUAUCAAGCUCAUCACAAAACAAACACAACCCAUUUUCCAUUCUCGCAUACACCUGCUCACAUGAAUACGUCCGAUGAGUCUUGUUCGUGGUGAUCGUGCCCGCCAUUGUUUGUUUUUUUUUUUUUUUUUUUUAUUAGUUGCGUCCGAAGCUCGUUGGCUCUGAUACCAAUGAAACAGUAAAACCUGAGUAACCGAUAGAUCCGAUCCAGAAGCUCACCUAGAGCUCGGGGAACGGUAAACCUAAGCCUAGAAGAAGACCACGGAGGAAGAAGGGUCUUCUCGGAGGUCAAAGAUCAAUGGUGGAUUGAAGAUUUAGAUGAUGACAGAGUUUAGAGGAAGAAGAUGAUUUUGAUAUUCUGAUUGAUUCUCAUAUUUGGCCAAAGAGCCUUACAUAUAGUGAUUAAAGUUUUAUGAAC